rnacentral:lncRNA from 1 species
AGCAAAUUGUUCGUCUUCACCUUCAUCAGAAUUAUCCGGAAAAUUCACUGAGGUGGUCGAGUUGCACGUGCAGGUACGGUUGGGUUUAUGUCUAGCUACGUUGAUCUUUCCAAAGUUUUAGGAUAAUUAGUUGUUUGAUUUUCUUACAGCAUUUGUUUUUAUACUAUUAAUAUGUUUUUGUAAAAGGGUUAUAUUAGAAGUGUUUAGUGAAUGGGAUUGAAAAGAUUAUAAUGAUUUUGCCAUGUUUAAAGAGAAGUGAAUGGUUUUGAUAUGGUAAGAAAUAUAUUUAUGAUCGUGCGUGGCAGAUAACUGGAAAUUGUUGAAUAGAAAUGGGGAAUAGUCCUAGCGGCCCUCGUCUACUGGGAAAUCGAAACUAUUAUUCUUCUUACGAUAUUAAACUGGGCAAAGCGGCUACCAUUAGGGUCAUAAAAGAUGAAAAAAGUUGUAUGGGCCCAUGUUCGAGACUCAUGUACGACGUAGACAGAAUGACUUGUGUACUUUCCAUAUAUAGACCAUUUGAUGAAGGAUUUAUCUUGACUGUCCAAGAUGGUCAUACCGUAAAGUCAAAGGAGGAUUCAGAAGCUGGUAGCCUUCAUAAACGUGAACUUAUUACCUUUAUAGCGCAAAAAGGCAGAGAAACUGGUCUUGACGUAAUUCCUAUAGGAAUAGGAACGGUUUUAAAGUCAGUGAAUUUUUCAAAAAUUCGUGAAUCAUAUGGUGGCGAAGUAGAAACGCAGAGUUGGACAUAUGCGUCUGAGAACAGUAAAGGGCUUUUUUUUUUGCAGAACAAGAAGAAAAGCAACGAAGUAGAAUGCUACAUGGUAACCAUAGCACAUUAUUUAGUGAAUAGUGCUAGUGGUGGAAAUUUUGGUGAGAGUGGAGUGAAUUUGGGUUUUUCAGUUGUGGUGAAGUUUGGAGUGGUCAAUGGGAAAUUAGAUUAUAGCGUAGAUGGCCCUGUGGAACACCCUUCUUCUGCAUUACUUUACUUGAUUGAAGAAGUUUGUCAAACAGGGACGUGGAAGCCUUCUGCAUGCCCUCAUUGCAAGAAUAUCCAAUCCCGACAGCGUAGAUGGGUUUCUGACAGUGAAGACAGCGACACCAAUCUUCGAACACCACCAUUUUAUGGAGGCCAACAAAAUACAUCAAAUAAAGGACGCUUCGAUGGCGAUGGCGCCGGUAGUAUGUUUCGAGCAAACAGUGUUAACUUUAAUAAGUGGAUAUUGACGCCAUCAUCAAAUUUUUGAAAAAAAAAAAAGUGAGUCAAAGUCUUACGUUAUGUAUUAGGGACCACCGACCGGUCAUGGUCAAUGCCGGACGGAAGACCCUCGCUAUCCGACGUUAUCUGGUAUAGGCGAAGCCGGCGGUAGAAAAAGGAUCCCCCGAACGGGCCCGACAGCUAGCGCCCUAGCUUUCGUGUCAUUCCGCUUUCCGCCGAUACUGACAGCUAAAGAUUACCGGCCGGUUACACCAUGACCGGACGGUCAGAUACAAAAAUCCACCCGUAGAAUAAGAUUUAAGGGGAGGCGUACGGUCGGCACAAUGACCGGACGGUCACGAUCAACAGGGUUAAGGUAAGUGUGGAAAGAUUAGCAUAAUCCAGUGUUUUAGAUGGCUGGGCCACAAUUGGGCCUUAAUUAAAGUAAUCUUAAUACCAGGCCCAUGUCUACCACUAUAAAUAUGAGUCAAAGGUCACAGGUAGGUGGAUUCAUUUGAUUGCGCAUUUAAUUCUGAAUUAAGAUAUCCGAUCGGAUAACCAAACUGACUUAAGCAUCGGAGUGUCUUUAGCAGGUACCCUCCGGGAGUUUGAAGCACAAGAGCACGCGAGAGAAUUCGGACAGGAGGUGAAGCAGAGGAAAUUGUGUAGGUGACUUGGAUCUCGGCCCUAUACCGAAACACGUUAUAUCAUAUUAGGUUCUAUCAUAUGUAUAAUAUCUUCCUUAUGAAAAGUGGUGUGAAAUGUGUAUUAGGUUAUAUAUAUCAUAUUAUAUAAUAUCUUCUUUAUGAAAAAUAUAAACACAAACAACUCUCCUUUUAUCUUCUCUAUGAUCCUCCAAGUUGUUUCUUAUAGCCAUGCAG